UUUAUUUUUGAGUAAUUUUUUUGUAUAGUUUUUUUAUUUUCUUCUAUUUAUUUUCUUCUGGAAAUUGAAUGUUGCAUACUGAAUAAUUAGGUAAAUGACCGAAAAACAACAAAUGAUGUCAGAACAUGUUGAAAAUUGAUGACAUCGCUUUGAAUGCUGGAUACUGAACACAAAAGAAGUCCGGAGUUCAAAUAAGUUUAAAAACAUUGAAGUGGUCAUGUAACAGAUGAAGUGCGUCCAGUUUUUGCCGUGACCCUCUCUACUCUUUCGCGCAUGCUAUGCGGGUGAUAUGAUGAUACCAUGCCAAGUUUCAACAUUUUUAGGAUUCAUUUUGUAGUGAUUUUCAAUUUCACGGUCAUUUAGUUCUCUAAACAAUUAGGUAAAUGACCGAAAAACAACAAAUGAUGUCAGAACAUGUUGGAAAUUGAUGAUGUCGCUUUAAAUGCUGCAUACUGAACACAAAAGAAGUCCGGAGUUCAAAUAAGUUUAAAAAACAUUGAAGUGGCC
rnacentral:lncRNA from 1 species